UACGAAGGGGGCUAGCGUUGCUCGGAAUCACUGGGCGUAAAGGGUGCGUAGGCGGGUCUUUAAGUCAGGGGUGAAAUCCUGGAGCUCAACUCCAGAACUGCCUUUGAUACUGAAAGAUCUUGAGUUCGGAGAUGGUGAGUGGAACUGCGAGUGUAGAGGUGAAAUUCGUAGAUAUUCGCAAGAACACCAGUGGCGAAGGCGGCCCACUGGCCCGAUACUGACGCUGAGGCACGAAAGCGUGGGGAGCAAACAGGG
rnacentral:rRNA from 1 species